rnacentral:lncRNA from 1 species
AGGUUGGGCUCUCCUCUCCAAAGUCCUCUGUGGUGAGGAACCGGUUUCUUCAACUAAUCCAUUCAAUCUCAUCACGUUAGAUUUUAGCACCAACCUACCAGAUCUUGCUAGGUUGAAUUUUAGCGGCAACAUUCAUGGACUUAGACACGGUCCAUGACACCUACCUGUUUAAGAACCUUGUCUGAUUUGAGCGGCUACGAGAAUAAUGCACAGU